rnacentral:rRNA from 1 species
UACAGAGACUGCAAGCGUUAUUCGGAUUCACUGGGCGUAAAGGGUGCGCAGGCGGCCAAGUGUGUCAGGUGUGAAAUCCCGAGCUUAACCUCGGAACUGCGCCUGAAACUACUUGGCUAGAGUACUGGAGAGGGUAACGGAAUUCACGGUGUAGCAGUGAAAUGCGUAGAUAUCGUGAGGAACACCGGUGGCGAAGGCGGCAUCCUGGACCAAUACUGACACUGAGGAGCGGAAAAGCGUGGGGAGCGAAACAGG